rnacentral:lncRNA from 1 species
AAAAGGAACCACAGUGAAACUAGCAUUAUUUGUGUAUUUUCUGUUUUUCUUCCUACUGAAUAUGCUUUUAUUGCUUUCUUUUUUUUUUUUUUCAGUACGCGGGCCUCUCACUGUUGUGGCCUCUCCCGUUGCGGAGCACAGGCUCCGGGCGCGCAGGCUCAGCGGCCAUGGCUCACGGUCCCAGCCGCUCCGCGGCAUGUGGGAUCUUCCCGGACCGGGGCACGAACCCGUGUCCCCUGAAUCGGCAGGCGGACUCCCAACCACUGCGCCACCAGGGAAGCCCCUUUUAUUGCUUUCUUGUAAUCAGAGGUAAGAUCAUGUUACAACAUGACAACAACAAAAGUCUGUAGCAUUUCUGCUCACUGAACUCUGCUAAAUGAUGAACUGUGAAGGGAUCCUUGAAGAAUUGGUGACAAUUUGCAUAGGUGACAGAAGAGGAAAGAAAGAACCUUGGAGGUGGCAAUGAGGAUAUGUUUACAGUUUCUGGUCCCACAUGUGAGGUUCUUGGAAGUUGCCACUCCAUCCUAACAACGAGUAAAAAGCUGAACAAUCUGAGAAACCAACUACUCUUGUGGAUCCAUAAGAGAGGGGAGGACAAAGGCCAAACGUCUGCCCCUGGGAUUGGAGAGAUAGACAGACCAACACAAGGAGUCAUGGCUUCCCAUAGCAGAGACUCACGAGUGGAAACUGCCAGGGGAACCAGUGCCAAGGAGUUCUCAGAAGGCUGA